rnacentral:lncRNA from 1 species
UUUUUAUCUAGACUGUGUCUUUAAAGUGGUGGAAAUGACCAAUUCUGUGUCUUAGGAGGGAGGUGGCAUGAAGCCGGGAAAUGACUGAGGAAGGGAUACUGAUAUGAAAUGAUUUAUUUCUGGAAAAUGCUCUUGGACUGUCCCCCUUCAGGUGUCCUGGUGCAGGCUUUCAGGGAAGGGAGAGCCCCUAACCUCGCCCCACCUCCCAAAACUUCUCCCCCUGCCGUCGGGCUAUGGUCCCUGGUUCCCUUCACGCCCCCACCCCCAGCCUCAGCUCUGUCUGGGUGGAACGAAUGUCUGCUAAUGAACUAAACAAACAGGUCUCUUAAUCUUAUCAUGGAGCUGACCCAGAGACUGGCACAGAUAUCCAAAGUAUCAUAAUUGGCAGGUCAGAAUUAAAACUACAUACAUCAUGGUGACUUUAUAGCUGAGGCAAAGUGGAGCUCAAGUGUUACUUUCCCAGUAAGCAAAUCAUGAUGAAGUAUCAUGCUGGUGACUAAUUUAACUAACAUUGUCCAGGAAAUUGCUGUUGUCCAGGAAGAGAAGAGUUGAGCCGAGUGUCAACUACUAGGCUUCUGGCACCAUCCUGCACAAGAAAUUGGAGCAUAAGGGACAUUUCCACAUUCUAACUUUACAUGAAGACUCAGGACUUUGAAAGCCCAUGAGAAAG